GUCCAACAAAACUGCAAUGUUACAAUUCACUAAGAACGACUAGAAAGUUUAAAUUUUUAACACAAAAAUGUGUUUGAUUUAUAUUUUGGUGGCAUAUAAUAUGAAAAUUUACCGCCAGUUUCGUGCACUUCUGGACAGAGCCAAGACUUAGGGGCCAUUCACAAAAUACGUGAGGCUAUUUUAGCCAAUUUUUCAGACCCCCCUACCCCU
rnacentral:lncRNA from 1 species